rnacentral:rRNA from 1 species
CGCGUAGGCGGGUUUGUAAGUCAGAGGUGAAAUCCUACAGCUUAACUGUAGAACUGCCUUUGAAACUACAAAUCUUGAGUUUGGAAGAGAGAGACGGAAUUCCAGGUGUAGUGGUGAAAUACGUAGAUAUCUGGAAGAACACCAGUGGCGAAGGCGGUCUCUUGGUCCAUAACUGACGCUGAGGCGCGAAAGCGUGGGGAGCAAACA